rnacentral:rRNA from 1 species
GCGGAGCACUUCGGUGCUUCGCGGCGGUCGGGUGAGUAACACGUAGGUAACCUGCCUGUAAGAUCGGGAUAACUAUCGGAAACGAUAGCUAAGAGGCGGAUAGCUGGUUUUCUCGCAUGAGAGAAGCAUGAAACACGGAGUAAUCUGUGGCUUAUAGAUGGGCCUGCGGCGCAUUAGCUAGUUGGUGAGGUAACGGCUCACCAAGGCGACGAUGCGUAGCCGACCUGAGAGGGUGAACGGCCACAGUGGGACUGAGACACGGCCCAGACUCCUACGGGAGGCAGCAGUAGGGAAUCUUCCGCAAUGGACGCAAGUCUGACGGAGCAACGCCGCGUGAGUGAUGAAGGUUUUCGGAUCGUAAAGCUCUGUUGCCCUAGACGAACAGCAGGGAGAGUAACUGCUCUCUGUGUGACGGUAUAGGAGA